GACAGAGGGUGCAAACGUUGUUCGGAAUUACUGGGCGUAAAGCGUGUGUAGGCGGCCACGUAAGUCGGAUGUGAAAGCCCCGGGCUCAACCCGGGAAGUGCACUCGAUACUGCGUGGCUUGAGUACUGGAGAGGUUGGUGGAAUUCUCGGUGUAGAGGUGAAAUUCGUAGAUAUCGAGAGGAACACCGGUGGCGAAGGCGGCCAACUGGACAGAUACUGACGCUGAGGCGCGACAGCGUGGGGAGCAAACAGG
rnacentral:rRNA from 1 species